AACGAACGCUGGCGGCAUGCCUAACACAUGCAAGUCGAACGAGACCUUCGGGUCUAGUGGCGCACGGGUGCGUAACGCGUGGGAACCUGCCCUUAGGUUCGGAAUAACUCCCCGAAAGGGGUGCUAAUACCGGAUAAUGUCUUCGGACCAAAGAUUUAUCGCCUUUGGAUGGGCCCGCGUUGGAUUAGCUAGUUGGUAGGCUAAAAGCCUACCAAGGCGACGAUCCAUAGCUGGUCUGAGAGGAUGAUCAGCCACACUGGGACUGAGACACGGCCCAGACUCCUACGGGAGGCAGCAGUGGGGAAUAUUGGACAAUGGGCGAAAGCCUGAUCCAGCAAUGCCGCGUGAGUGAUGAAGGCCUUAGGGUUGUAAAGCUCUUUUACCCGGGAUGAUAAUGACAGUACCGGGAGAAUAAGCUCCGGCUAACUCCGUG
rnacentral:rRNA from 1 species